rnacentral:rRNA from 1 species
AGGUGCGAUCAUACCAGCACUAAUGCACCGGAUCCCAUCAGAACUCCGCAGGUAAGCGUGCUUGUGCGAGAGUAGUACUAGGAUGGGUGACCUCCUGGGAAGUCCUCGUGUUGCACUUC